rfam:Triticum aestivum genome assembly, contig: Triticum_aestivum_CS42_TGACv1_scaffold_572332_7AS
UCCGGCGCGCGUAGACGUCGCGCACGUACGCGCCGCGGUAUUAAGGUGAUGUGGACGCUGUUGUAGUGCUGCGGGCCUGGUCUGGGUGUGCUGUUGCGGGCCCGCCCGUUCAAGUUGCGUAGUGGACCGCCUGGGGCCUAUGCAAAACCUGGGCCUCACGGUCCAUAAUAUACCAGACACAUCGUGAGGCUGGCUUCACAGAGUAGCGACAGCUGCCCGCUUCCGACGGUGGAAGGAUAACGAGCCGCUGCACUCCUAGGCCACUUGGGCCACGCAGUCUACUCUAGCGAACCAUCACUUUU